rnacentral:lncRNA from 1 species
UGGGUAGUGUAUUCCGAAAACGUUGAAUUUUUUUAUGUCUAAAGUGUCAUUUUUGAGCAUGUAUGUAUGUAUUGAGCAUUAUGUAUAGUAGGGUUGAUUUGAGGGGAUAUGAUGCAUGUUGUGAGGACAAAUGCAUGAGAAAUAAUGGUAAAAGAGUAAGAACUUGUGUAACCCUAUGUAUGCAUGAUCAAUGACAAGAACCUAGUUGAGUUAGAGAACAAAAAUGACAUGUUGACAUAAAUGUAGAGAGUAGCAUUGAUGAGUCUUGAAUACUAGUGUUACAAUAGUGA